rnacentral:rRNA from 1 species
CCUACGGGAGGCAGCAGUGAGGAAUAUUGGUCAAUGGACGAGAGUCUGAACCAGCCAAGUAGCGUGAAGGAUGACUGCCCUAUGGGUUGUAAACUUCUUUUAUAUGGGAAUAAAGUGUGCCACGUGUGGGAUUUUGUAUGUACCUUAUGAAUAAGGAUCGGCUAACUCCGUGCCAGCAGCCGCGGUAAUACGGAGGAUCCGAGCGUUAUCCGGAUUUAUUGGGUUUAAAGGGUGCGUAGGUGGAUUGUUAAGUCAGUUGUGAAAGUUUGUGGCUCAACCGUAAAAUUGCAGUUGAAACUGGCAGUCUGGAGUAUAGUAGAGGUGGGCGGAAUUCGUGGUGUAGCGGUGAAAUGCUUAGAUAUCACGAAGAACCCCGAUUGCGAAGGCAGCUCACUAGACUGCGACUGACACUGAGGCUCGAAAGUGUGGGGAUCAAACAGGAUUAGAUACCCUUGUAGUC